GACAGAGGGUGCAAACGUUGUUCGGAAUUACUGGGCGUAAAGCGCGUGUAGGCGGCCCUGCAAGUCGGAUGUGAAAUCCCACGGCUCAACCGUGGAAGUGCAUUCGAAACUGCAGGGCUAGAGUCCUGGAGAGGAAGGUGGAAUGCUUGGUGUAGAGGUGAAAUUCGUAGAUAUCAAGCGGAACACCGGUGGCGAAGGCGGCCUUCUGGACAGUGACUGGACGCUGAGGCGCGAAAAGCCCAGGGG
rnacentral:rRNA from 1 species